GUCAGGAUGGCCGAGCGGUCUAAGGCGCUGCGUUCAGGCCGCAGUCCACUCCGUGGGCGUGGGUUCGAAUCCCACUUCUGACA
rnacentral:tRNA from 1 species